UGUCCAGACUCCUACGGGAGGCAGCAGUGGGGAAUAUUGCACAAUGGGCGAAAGCCUGAUGCAGCAACGCCGCGUGAAGGAAGAAGGGUUUCGGCUCGUAAACUUCUAUCAACAGGGACGAAAGAAAUGACGGUACCUGAAUAAGAAGCCCCGGCUAACUACGUGCCAGCAGCCGCGGUAAUACGUAGGGGGCAAGCGUUAUCCGGAUUUACUGGGCGUAAAGGGAGCGCAGGCGGCGCGCCAAGUCUGAUGUGAAACCCCGGGGCUCAACCCCGGGCAUGCAUUGGAAACUGGCGGGCUGGAGUGCCGGAGAGGUAAGCGGAAUUCCUAGUGUAGCGGUGAAAUGCGUAGAUAUUAGGAGGAACACCAGUGGCGAAGGCGGCUUACUGGACGGCAACUGACGGUGAGGCGCGAAAGCGUGGGGAGCAAACAGGAUUAGAUACCCUCGUA
rnacentral:rRNA from 1 species